rnacentral:rRNA from 1 species
GACGAACGCUGGCGGCGUGCCUAAUACAUGCAAGUAGAACGCAGUUGCGAACGGGUGAGUACCGCUUAGGUCACUGCCUGUUAGCGGGGGAUAACUAUUGGAAACGAUAGCUAAUACCGCAUACUCCCAGAUGGACCUGCGUUGUAUUAGCUGGUUGGUGAGGUAACGGCUCACCAAGGCAACGAUACAUAGCCGGACUGUAGUGGUGAUCGGGCAAACUGGGACGUGGGCACGGCCCAGACUCCCACGGGAAGGAGCAGUAGGUGAAUGUCGGAAAAGGGGGGAACCCUGACCGAGCAACGCCGCGUGAGUGAAGAAGGUUUUCGGAUCGUAAAGCUCUGUUGUUAAGGAAGCGGUACUUAACCAGAAAGGGACGGCUAACUACGUGCCAGCAGCCGCGGUAAUUC